rnacentral:rRNA from 1 species
UACGUAGGGUGCAAGCGUUGUCCGGAAUUAUUGGGCGUAAAGAGCUCGUAGGCGGUUUGUCGCGUCGACUGUGAAAACCCGAGGCUUAACCUCGGGCCUGCAGUCGAUACGGGCAGACUAGAGUUCGGUAGGGGGGACUGGAAUUCCUGGUGUAGCGGUGAAAUGCGCAGAUAUCAGGAGGAACACCGGUGGCGAAGGCGGGUCUCUGGGCCGAUACUGACGCUGAGGAGCGAAAGCGUGGGGAGCGAACAGG